AGCUUUUUGAAUCCGUGCAGAGAUUUCGUCAGACAUCAACUCAUCGAGACUGAUCAAACUCCCAAGAUAAGUGGAGUU
rnacentral:pre_miRNA from 1 species